rnacentral:rRNA from 1 species
UGGGGAAUCUUGCACAAUGGGGGAAACCCUGAUGCAGCGACGCCGCGUGAGCGAUGAAGCCCUUCGGGGUGUAAAGCUCUUUCGGCAGGGAAGAUUAUGACGGUACCUGCAGAAGCAGCUGCGGCUAACUACGUGCCAGCAGCCGCGGUAAUACGUAGGCAGCAAGCGUUGUUCGGAGUUACUGGGCGUAAAGGGUGUGUAGGUGGCCUGUUAAGUUCCGUGUGAAAUCUCCCGGCUCAACCGGGAGGGUGCGCGGAAAACUGGCGGGCUAGAGUACGGGAUGGGAGAGUAGAAUUCCUGGUGUAGCGGUGAAAUGCGUAGAUAUCAGGAGGAAUACCGGUGGUGUAGACGGCUCUCUGGACCGUAACUGACACUGAGACACGAAAGCGUGGGUAGCAAACAG